CAUGUUAAUUACCAAGCUCCAGCCAGCCUCCACAUCUUGUGCCUCAGUGUCCCUGUUCAAUGAACUUUAGAUAAAGCUCCCCUGAUGCCAUUUGGAAGGGCAAGGAUGCUGAUACAUGAAGACCCUCUGGGCGCUUUAAUUAAAGCAGUUCUCAGACCCACUCUUAUUAAAGCGCCCCCCUCCCCACUCCCAGAGCAUGUGUAAAAAUGCUCAAAGGUACUAUACUUUAUUCACAGAAGCAAAAGCAUAUUAAUGCAUGUGUAGACAUACCCACUGAGUUCUGUUCAGAUUUGGUUCAGAUUCUGUUUCUGUCAUUUAUUUAAGAUCAUUUGGUCCAUCUGUAAAAUGCUAAAAUUGGUCCAUUUUCUGCAAAGUGUUUUGAGAUCUGUGAAUGAACAUUGCUGUACAAGUGUCACAUAUUAUUACUGCUGGAUCAAUUAUAAUUAGAAUCAGAAAUUCCCAUGCAAACAAGCUCUAAGUCUUUGAAUUCUAGUGUUUACUUGAACAUCACUUUUGAAACCUGAAAGGUUUGUCCAUCACCAAAAUAAGAUAUUUAUAUUUACAAGGGUUUUAUUUUUAGUGAAGAAAAAUGUAACACAAAAAGGUGUGUGUGUGUGUGUGUGUGUGUGUGUGUGAGGGGUUAUCUGUGAAAUCUCAUGUCAAACAUUGUGAAAACUAGCAUAGUUAAUGUAACAUCUGUACUUGCUGCUUUCUACUUUUGCUCUGGAGCAGGAGCUGAAGGGAGUAGAAUAAAUAUUGGGCCAAAUCCUGAUCUUUCUCAAUGGGAUUUUGCCAUUGACUUCAUUGAGAUCUGGAUUAAUUUCAGUGUUCCAUUUGUAUCGAGCAGACUUCAGUAGAGGAAGAACUUUUGCUCACAUGGGAAAGUUUGCUGUACAAAACCAUUUGAAAAAUAAACAACUAUGUAAUCAUUUGGCAGUCUUGCUCACAAUGAAGUAGACCACCCUUGGAGGUCAGGAAAAGGAACUGAAGCAACCAGUUAAACCAAAAGUCCAACUUAACUUUUAUCUUGCCUCUUGAGAGUAGCCAAUAGGAAAUGCUCUAGAGGAAGGUGUAAAAUCUGAUAUAAUUUAAAAUUUUAAAUGAUUCAUACUUAUAAAGAGAGAAGUUUUUCCUAAUCCCAGGGACUUAAUGGUUGGCUUAUGGCCUGAUGCAUGAGUGUUGCUUACUUCACCUUUACUAAUAUAACUGCAGAUAUUUUUUCUUAUUUAUGUCUAAAGUUUUUUUUUUUGGAAUGCUUCUUCUUGGCCUGAGUAAAAUCUAAUAGUGAAUUCUAUGGGUCAAUGUAUACAUGUUAUAAGAUCUUAAUAUCCUCUUACCAUUUUAAAAUAGCCUUUCCAUUUUAUUUAAUGCCCUUUUUCUUGAGUGUUCAGAGAGGGUAAAUAACAUAUGCCUUUAUCACAUCACUUAUUAUUUCCUUUUCAAACCAAAUUGUGGUGUAUAAUUGUUAUAUAUAGUCAAAGGAGAUCAUUUCUCUGUUUUCCUGUGUGCGAGUAUGUGUGGCUGUGUGAGGAUUGCUUUAUACAUACUACAUUCUGAAAUGAAGAGGAGUCUCCCUCUCUGCUGAAUGGUACAGAUUUAUGGCAGCUGCCAUCUUGUAUUUUAAUACAAGUGCAGGAUAUUACGGAGAGUGCCACAGUAUGCUCGUUUCUUCUUAGAGACCAUGUUUCUUCUUUUAAUCUUUUGUAUUUCUUAAUCUCAAAUAAAUAAUCUAAACUGAAAAAAAA